rnacentral:lncRNA from 1 species
GGGAGCCACUCUUGCAACGCUGACAUUGGACGAGCAAGCACCCCAGAGAGGGCCUCCUGAGGACCAGAGAGGAGGGCAGGCGGCAGAGGCCCUGAAAACAGAGCUGUGAGUGCCUCCCCCACGCCUUCCACAGCCCCAGCCCUGCCACUGGGGGCUCCCGCAACAGCCCUGCGCGCCCCCAGGAUACCUCCCCAUCCCGACCCUCAGAAUGACCAGGAAACCAGGCCUUGCACUGGGAAGAGUUGAAGGAAGGCCCUGCUGACAGAGGGGGUGCGGGCCAUCAAAGCUGCUACAUGUGGGCUGUAGGAGAAAAGAAGUGAAGUCAGAGAAGGGAAAACCAAGCCGGAGCUAGAAAUCCACCCCACCCUACGCUCCCUACAAGCUAGCAACGAAAGCCUCUGCGCUACGGCGAACGACAGCCUUGGGGGAGGACAGCAGAAUUCCCUGGGAAGGAGUACACAGGGUCGGGCUCUAGAAGCAGACAGACCUGGGCGUGGUGAGCCUGGUGAUAACCAGCUCACAGGGCCUCGAAAGGGUCUGUGAGGUCAGGCGUGUGCCCGCUGCUGGGCACACGGUGAAGCCCAAGAAACCCGUCAUAGCUUUCGUCCCUUCUACCACAUUCUUCAACACUCGCCAGCUUUCGUUCCCCGCGGGUGGAGCAGGCAGGGGUGAGGUACCAGCUCCCUGAGGGCAGGUAGAGACACGGAGGCAGAGAGAGGCCGAGGCGCUCACUCUCAGAGCGGGGUUCUGGCACCGGGUCUCAGGAGGGUUGGAAAAAGUGGACAAAGACCUGAUGGCGGGAGAGGGGGAGGCAGGGCUCUGGCAGGGAGCUGACGCUCCAGGACAGGUGACGAGGCCCAGGCCUGGCUUAUAUAACGCAGCACACCUGUUCACCUCUGCACACGCCCCACGCUCGUUUGUGCGAGCAAACGUGGGCCCCCGCACAGCACACACCCCCGGGCCCUCACUCGCUAGCCAAUGAGCGUCAGAGCCCUGGCCUGAACAAAUUGGAUUAGGAGGGCUGCAGACACCUCUCCCCCCUCCUCCCCUCCCCCCCCCCUGCACUGUCCAGCUCCGACACUGAGCAGACCUGCGGGGCGGCCAGCUGCUGUCCCUCGGCCACGCUGACAGUCUGUCCUCCGUCCUGGAGACCUGCCCCUGGGCCCCCAGGAAGAGGGCCGGGGGUCUGAGAGGAUGCCGGGAUGACGGAUGGGCUGGCCCAAGAGCACACAGGAUGUCGGUGCUUGUGCAAGGCUCGUCUCUGAGCUGUUCCCAGCAGCCCAUCCCCUCCUCCCCUCCCACCUCCCUUCCCAAAGCCUCUCCCGUGAUCACUGCCGCCAGGGCCCAGAGCCCCGGCUCCCAGCAGACCCAUCCUCGUCAGUCCCACAGCUGGGCAGGCGAGAACUGGUCAGCCUGGGAGAAGAUGGCCUGGGGACAAGACACAAGAGAGAGAGAGAAAAAGGAGCUUAUGAACAGAGACAAUGCCGAUCAUAAAGGUGACAUCUCAGUGCGUUCUCAUGCAUCGUUUUGUUCCAUCAUCAGAGUGGGCCUGGGAGUUGAGAGAUUGUGCCCAUGGCACAGAUGUGACUACUGACGUCUGCUAUUCAGGGAUUCCACAGCUCCCCUUUCGUGAGCCCUGAGUCUGCUCCAGCCCCGAAUGGGGUGCUGGGAACACCGGCAUGAACGCCUUGGUGCGCCCAUCGCUAAACAGGUCAGGCUCCUUUGGGCUUGGCCGCUGGGCACUGGGGGCCCCCCGGUCUUCUGAGGGAGCGGCACCAGUAGGUAGAUGCCUUUUCCAUAUGGCACAGGUGAGCGGCUGAAUAUUACAGCGAGAGCAGCCUUAGCAAGCAGCCCAUUCCAAACACAGACCCUGAAGGCUGACAGCCCCAAGUGCAAACCCUGCCUUUCUAGCUGGAGAGCUGUAGUCCAGCUGGCCUCGCCAAGCCUGUUUUCCCUUCUGCGAAAUGGAGGUACAGAAGCUCCCCUUCGUGGGACUCACCGUUGAGGAUUAGUACUUUUCACACCCUCAUUUGACACAGGGAGACACAGAGGUGGGAGAGGGAAGAGGCCUGGCCAAGGUCACAGUGCGAGUUGGGGAUUAAGUCGGGACCAGAUAGAAACUCUCUUCCUCCACCCCUCAUCCCAGUAUAAAUCCUCCCCACGGUGGGGGUGGGGGGGUGGGGAGGGGGCUGGCUGGCUCAGUCCGUUAGGUUAAGCUUCUGACUUUGGCUCAGGUCACGAUGUCACAGUUCGUGAGUUCGAGCCCUGCCUCAGGCCCUGUGCUGACCGCUCAGAGCCUGGAGCCUGCUUCAGAUUCUGUGUCUCCCUCUCUCUCUGCCCCUCCCCCGCUCACGCUCUCUCUCAAAAAUGAAUAAACAUUUAAAAAAAAUCCUCCCCACGGGCUCCACCCCAAGUAGCCUAGAGGCCGUGACAGGCGGCUCAGCAAUAGAGGCAACUAUGGAGACAUAUCCUGGGACCCACCCCGUACCUUCAGCCCUGCCGCAGCCUCGGCAGCACCAGAGGCCCAGGUGCCCGGCAGUGGCCCCCAGCCCUCAGUGGUGGUGGAGGGUGGGGGAGUGCAGUGACAGUGACGGCUCUGGCCCAGAGCAGCCUGCCCAUAUAAGGGAAGGAGCUGGGGAGGCCUCCUCACUUGGGCCUGGCGAGAAAACCCAGACAGCCACUGUUUAUUUUCUCCUUCCCAGCCUCCCCGGAGCUUCCCAAGAAGACAGAGGCUCCCCCGGGCUGGGCUUGGCGACAUUUCCUGAAGACAGUAGGGAGCAGUGAGGGGAAACUGGCCCGUUUCUGGGAGCAACGCCGCAGACUGCCAACAGCCGGCACCAGGUAAGAAUCCGCCCGCUGUGAGUCUAAGGCCACCUGCUCAAGUGUCUCCUUGGACACAGGGGAAAGGGAGCCACAGAGAGGGGAAGCACGUGGGAGAAGUGACCACACCGGUAGAACUCAGGUCUCCCAAGUGGCCCGCUGUCUCCUGACUGGGGACCGAGAGUAAGAAGGAGCCUCUGGUGGGGUAAGUGGAAUAGGAGGGCUGUCGACCUCCUUCUCAUCUGAAGGAGACCAGGGGUCAGGGCCAGCACUGUCUGCCUGCUGGACAAGUAAGAGAGACUCAAGGGAAGAGUUCUUGGGCAAGAGGACACGCUUCCUGCAUCUCUGCCCCUCCUCCCAGCCCACCACCUCCUCCUCCAGGAAGUCCUCCCAGCUUUCCCCCUGGGGCGGGAACCUCUUUGUCCUCUAAGACCUUGGCAGUCCUUUCUUAGGCUCUCCCUGGCGCCACUUGGAUCUGUGCCCUAUUCACCUUGCCAGGGACAUUCUUCUUCCAUUUCAGCCUGACUGCACUCCUCCAGGGCAAGGACAUCAGUCCCACCUCCCCUCGGCACAUAGAAGUCACCCUAGGCUUGCUGGAUGGUGAGGUGAAAUGGUGAGACCCUGUCUCAAACCCAAAGGAUUGGUAAAUUGGCCAGGGGAGGAGACAUUCGGCAUAGAGGUUAAGACGAGGGAGCCGGGGUUGGCUGUUCUGAGUUAGGAACCCAGCUCAGCUCCUAACUCCGUGGCCUUGGAAAAUUCCCUUCUCACAGAGCCUUGGGGAUACGAGGGGAUUAGCACAAUUAAAACAGUCAACAAAUGACUGCUCUUAUUACAGUCGGCGUCACUGUGAUUUUCCUAGCUACAAGGAACAGAAGUACGCAGCCUAUAGCCAGAGGAGAAGCAAACAGCUUCCCCCAAAGGCUGCUCAUGGAGCCCUGUCCCUGCAUCACUUUCUCCCACGGGAACGUGGGCCUGCCUCCCAUCUACUUCCUGUUUCCAUACCCAGGAGGGGGGCUCUCUCGGCCACGAUAUUCGGAGCCUAAUGGGAUGUGCGGAAACAGCCCGCGACUCCCCUGGUUCGAGCCAGGCUGUGCCCACAGAACCAUCUCCUCCCCGUCCCGGUCCCCCGCGUGGAGGUCACAACAUACCCCUGCCGGCCUCACCAGCUGUCCUGAAGGUCCAGCGUCACGGGGCGCAGUUCCCCGAGCUGCAGUCACGCAGACGCCCCCUUUCGUAUUUUUGCCACAUCUGCAAAC